UGAAAGAGGAUGAAAACUAUUAUAUUGCUUCUGAAAAGUGUGAUGUUUACAAAUCGAGCUUUUUAAUUCUGAUUUCAU